UACGUAGGGUGCGAGCGUUGUCCGGAAUUAUUGGGCGUAAAGGGCUCGUAGGCGGUUUGUCGCGUCGGGAGUGAAAACACUGGCUUAACCGAGUGCUUGCUUUCGAUACGGGCAGACUAGAGGUAUGCAGGGGAGAACGGAAUUCCUGGUGUAGCGGUGAAAAUGCGCAGAUAUCAGGAGGAACACCGGUGGCGAAGGCGGUCUCUGGGCAUUACCUGACGCUGAGGAGCGAAAGUGUGGGAGCGAACAGG
rnacentral:rRNA from 1 species